rnacentral:rRNA from 1 species
GAAUGGCUCAUUAAAUCAGUUAUAGUCCACUCGAUAGUACCUUACUACUUGGAUAACCGUAGUAAUUCUAGAGCUAAUACAUGCAUAAAUACCCAACUGCUUGUCGGGCGGGUAGCAUUUAUUAGAUUGAAACCAAUGCAGUCUUCGGGCUGGUAUUGUGUUGAGUCAUAAUAACUGUGCGGAUCGCGCUUUUGCGCGAUAAAUCGAUUGAGUUUCUGCCCUAUCAGCUUUGGAUGGUAGGAUAUGGGCCUACCAUGGCAUUAACGGGUAACGGGGAAUUAGGGUUUGAUUCCGGAGAGGGAGCCUUAGAAACGGCUACCACAUCCAAGGAAGGCAGCAGGCGCGUAAAUUACCCAAUCCUGAUACAGGGAGGUAGUGACAAUAAAUAACAAUGCUCUGGCUCUUCGAGUCGGGCAAUUGGAAUGAGAACAAUUUAAAUCCCUUAACGAGGAUCAAUUGGAGGGCAAGUCUGGUGCCAGCAGCCGCGGUAAUUCCAGCUCCAAUAGCGUAUAUUAAAGUUGUUGCAGUUAAAAAGCUCGUAGUUGGAUUUCUGCUUUGGAUGUCCGGUCCGUUCCCUUUGGGAGUGUGUACUUAUGGAUGUUCGAAGCAUUUUUUGUGAGGUUGCCUUUCUGCCAUUAAGUUGGUGGAUUGGUGAACUUACAUCGUUUACUGUGAAAAAAUUAGAGUGUUUAAAGCAGGCGUUAGCUCAUUUGAAUACAUUAGCAUGGAAUAAUAAGAUAUGACUUUGGUGGUCUAUUUUGUUGGUUUGCACACCAGAGUAAUGAUUAAUAGGGACAGUUGGGGGUAUUCAUAUUUCAGCGUCAGAGGUGAAAUUCUUGGAUCGCUGAAAGAUGAGCUUAGGCGAAAGCAUUUACCAAGGAU